GGCUGAGUCAGGAGCGGAGGGCUGAUGCUGGGCAGCCAGAACACAAACACCCAUGCCCCCUUCCUUCUUCUGAGCUCAGACAGGGACUGCCCGGCUUCCUUCAGCAACGCCGCUCACUGGGUCUUCCCAACAAGAACGCAUUCCUCCUGGCAGAGGGAGAGUCCGCCUGUAUAAGGAUUGCCCUCAAUAACUCUUCCCUGGGGAAGAGCCUGUCCCUCCCCACUUCCUUCUGGGAGCCAGGCUGCCAACAGGAACUGCACGUGCUUCUCUGCUCCUCCCACCGCAGGCUCUGUGGUGCGUCUGGAUUUGGGAAGAACUUCAAACACAAAGGAUAUGUUUCAUGAAGUCCAUCCAAAACUGAAUUUUAUCACUGAAAAAUAUUCAUGGAGUGCUUAUUGGGUGUCAGCAUUGGGCUAACAACAUGCCAGGGAAUGAGGACAUGGAGACAAUGAAGGAAUCCCUCAACUUUGCUUCACACACUUCCACAACAAAGAAGAGUUGUCUUGCAUUCAGUAAAAACCACCCCUGGCCAAUCCUAAGCAGCACCCCCCAAAGCACCUUUCCUCCCACUCCAUGUGACCCCAGGAUGCCAGUUGUCAGCCACAUACCAGCUCAUCGAUCUGCCUGGCCCCCCACAGCUCUGACUCAUCUCUGCUUAGCUUCCUCCUCUCACUCCCUCACAUCCGCUCCAUACACACACACCCUGACCUAGUCACCACAUCUACAUUCACACAUUCCCUUAUUUUAGAAAACAGCAAAAUACCUAUUAUGUACAAGGUAGUAUAUGAUAUGC